rnacentral:rRNA from 1 species
GAGUGGACUCCUACGGGAGGCAGCAGUGGGGAAUAUUGGACAAUGGAGGAGACUCUGAUCCAGCAAUUCUGUGUGCACGAAGACGGUUUUCGGAUUGUAAAGUGCUUUCAGCAGGGAAGAAGAAAGUGACGGUACCUGCAGAAGAAGCGACGGCUAAAUACGUGCCAGCAGCCGCGGUAAUACGUAUGUCGCAAGCGUUAUCCGGAAUUAUUGGGCAUAAAGGGCAUCUAGGCGGAUAUACAAGUCAGGGGUGAAAACUUAGGGCUCAACUCAAAGCUUGCCUUUGAAACUGUAUAUCUAGAGUGCUGGAGAGGUGGACGGAACUACACGAGUAGAGGUGAAAUUCGUAGAUAUGUGUAGGAAUGCCGAUGAUGAAGAUAGUCCACUGGACAGCAACUGACGCUGAAGUGCGAAAGCUAGGGGAGCAAACAGGAUUAGAUACCCUUGUAGUCCU